rnacentral:rRNA from 1 species
UACGAAGGGGGCUAGCGUUGUUCGGAUUUACUGGGCGUAAAGCGCACGUAGGCGGCUCGUUAAGUCGAGGGUGAAAUCCUGGAGCUCAACUCCAGAACUGCCUUCGAUACUGGCGAUCUUGAGUCCGGAAGAGGUGAGUGGAACUCCUAGUGUAGAGGUGGAAUUCGUAGAUAUUAGGAAGAACACCAGUGGCGAAGGCGGCUCACUGGUCCGGUACUGACGCUGAGGUGCGAAAGCGUGGGGAGCAAACAGG